AACGCUGGCGGCAGGCCUAACACAUGCAAGUCGAACGGUAACAUUUCUAGCUUGCUAGAAGAUGACGAGUGGCGGACGGGUGAGUAAUGCUUGGGAACUUGCCUUUGCGAGGGGGAUAACAGUUGGAAACGACUGCUAAUACCGCAUAAUGUCUUCGGACCAAACGGGGCUUCGGCUCCGGCGCAAAGAGAGGCCCAAGUGAGAUUAGCUAGUUGGUAAGGUAACGGCUUACCAAGGCGACGAUCUCUAGCUGUUCUGAGAGGAAGAUCAGCCACACUGGGACUGAGACACGGCCCAGACUCCUACGGGAGGCAGCAGUGGGGAAUAUUGCACAAUGGGGGAAACCCUGAUGCAGCCAUGCCGCGUGUGUGAAGAAGGCCUUCGGGUUGUAAAGCACUUUCAGUUGUGAGGAAAAGUUAGUAGUUAAUACCUGCUAGCCGUGACGUUAACAACAGAAGAAGCACCGGCUAACUCCGUGCCAGCAGCCGCGGUAAUACGGAGGGUGCGAGCGU
rnacentral:rRNA from 1 species